AUUGAACGCUGGCGGCAGGCCUAACACAUGCAAGUCGAACGAGUGGCGGACGGGUGAGUAAUGUCUGGGAAACUGCCUGAUGGAGGGGGAUAACUACUGGAAACGGUAGCUAAUACCGCAUAACAUCAGAUGUGCCCAGCUGGGAUUAGCUUGUUGGUGGGGUAACGGCUAACCAAGGCGACGAUCCCUAGCUGGUCUGAGAGGAUGACCAGCCACACUGGAACUGAGACACGGUCCAGACGCCGACGGGAGGCAGCAGUGGGGAAUAUUGCACAAUGGAGGCAAGCCUGAGACAGCCAUGCCGCUUGUAUGAAGAAGGCCUUCGGGUUGUAAAGUACUUUCAGCGGGGAGGCGUUACCCGCAGAAGAAGCACCGGCUAACUCCGUGCCAGCAGCCGCGGUAAUUC
rnacentral:rRNA from 1 species